GGUGUUCUUUUUUACUUAUUUCUUGAUCCUACAGAGUCAAACAUGUGAUCGUAACUUCAUGAUUAGUAAUUAAUUCUUAUUCUUAUUGUUGCUGAGUGUUCCUGUACAAACUGGGCAAACACCACCCCUUUUGCAGUAUUUUGGUACUCUCUUGACCAGAGGAAAGCUUAAUGCUUUCGAGUCAUUGGAACUAUCACGUCUUGUUGUGAACCAGAACAAGAAUAAUUUGUUGGAAAAUUGGCUAGCAGAAGACAAAUUAGAAUGCAGCGAGGAGCUAGGAGAUCUUGUGAAGGAGAAAAAUGUCUCUUUCCCCAUCAAUUGGAGGAGAAAAUGAUACUUAAUUUUGAAGGCUUUGUGUUGGGCAGCUGUAGAAUAUUUUGUGCUGAAAGUAGUAACUUUUCAAUAUGUUGAAUAUUUAAGACUACUUGAAUACUUAAAGAACAUUUUGUUGUUGAAAACAGUGUUGAAUGUUUUAAACUAAUUUGUGGAUUGUUAAUACAAUGUUGAAUGUUUUAAACUAAUUUGUGGAUUGUUAAUACAAUGUUGAAUAUUUUUACU